GGGUUGUGAGGUUAAGCGACUAAGCGUACACGGUGGAUGCCCUGGCAGUCAGAGGCGAUGAAGGACGUGCUAAUCUGCGAUAAGCGCCGGUAAGGUGAUAUGAACCGUUAUAACCGGCGAUUUCCGAAUGGGGAAACCCAGUGUGACUCGUCACACUAUCAUUAAC
rnacentral:rRNA from 3 species